CUCCACUAUCUCUUUCCUUUCUCCACUAUGCUGUAGUUAACUUAAUGGUUUGUUGUUGUGUUUGCUUCUGUUGAUCACAAGCCCUGCAAGUACUUGAUGCAUUGAACAGCAUUUGCAACAGCAGAAGAGUAUCAUCUUGGCAACCUGUCCCAAGAACUGGGAUCUCAUAUGUGGAAAUAACCAAUUCUCCUAAGGUGCCUGAAAAUAGAAUGAAGUUGUAUUAAAUCAACCCAAAAAAGUAUUCACAGC
rnacentral:lncRNA from 1 species